rnacentral:RNase_P_RNA from 1 species
GGAGAAGAACGGAUGGUCGCCGCCCGUCGUCGCCCUGGCGCCGGCGGGGGGAGGAAAGUCCGGGCUCCACAGGACAGGAUGGUCCCUAACGGGGACCGGGGGUGACCCCAGGGAAAGUGCCACAGAGAGAAGACCGCCCGCCGUCGCCUUGCGUCGGCGGGUAAGGGUGAAAGGGUGAGGUAAGAGCUCACCGGUUCCGGCGGUGACGACGGAAGCCAGGUAAACCCCAUCCGGAGCAAGGCCAAAUAGGGGAGCGUUUGAGGACGGUCCGUCCAAGGCUCUCGGGUCAGGCCGCUUGAGGUCGUCGGCAACGGCGAUCCUAGAUGAAUGACCAUCACUUCGUCGCGGGUGACUGCGGCGGGGGACAGAACCCGGCUUACGGGCUUCUUCGACC